rnacentral:lncRNA from 1 species
CCUGGGACAGUCUGGAACACUUUGGGGACAGCUGGGGACACCUUGGGAUGGCUGGGGACACCAUGGGGACACUUUGGGGACACUGUGAGGACACCUGGGGACACUUUCAGGACACCCUGGGACACUUUAGGGACAGCUGGGGACACCUUGGGAUGGCUGGCGACACUUUGGGGACACCCUGGGACACCGUGGGGACACUGUGGGGACACUUUCAGGACACCCUAGGACAGUCUGGAGCACUUUGGGGACAGCUGGGGACACCUUGGGAUGGUUGGGGACACUUUGGGGACACUCUGGGAUACUUUAGGGACAGCUUUGGACGUUUCAGGGACACUUUGGGAACAGUUGGGGACACUCAGGGGACACCCUGGAGCAGUUUGGGACACCAUGGGGACACCGUGGGACUGUUGGGACACUGUGGGGACACUUUGGGGACACCCUGUGAAAGACUGGGACAUUUUGGGGACAGUUGGGGACAUUUUGGAGACACCCUUGGAUGGUCAGGGACACUGUGGGGACACCUUGGGGACACUGGGACAGCAGGGGAUACUUUAGGGACAGUUGGGGACACCCUGGGAUAGUUUGGGGACACUAUGGGGACACUUUUGGGAUACCCUGGGAUGGUUGGGGACACUUUGGGAACAGCUAUAGGGACACUGUGGGGGCACCAUGGGACAGUUGGGGACACUUUAGGGACAACUCUGGGGACACUGAGGACCCUUGGUAGCACCCCCACCACCUUGGGGACCCUCAGUGCCACCCCCUGUGCCAUGGGGCGCACUGAGGGUCACCCAUCACCACCCUGGGGACACUGGGGACCCUCAAUGCCACCUCCCAUUGCCUUGGCUGAAAUCCCCCCACAUUUCACACCCAGAUCAUUCCCUCAUCACCCAGCUCCUUCUCCUUCUGGGCCUGAAGGGGAACCCCAAAAAUGGAUGGAAUCACCCCAAAUUUCACACCCAGAUCCUCCCCUCAUCACCCAGCUCCUUCUACCUCUGUAUCUUAAGGGGAACCCCAAAAAAAGCUGAAAUCACCCCAAAUUUCACAGCCAGAUCAUCCCUCCCAAUGACACAGCUCCUUCUCCCUCUGGGCCUGAGGGGAACCCCAAAAAGGGAUGGAAUCACCCCAAAUUUCACACCCAGAUCCUUCUGCCAUGACCCAUGCAGCGAUGCAGGGGGACACCCCAAAAAUGGCUGGAAUCGCCCCAAAUUUU